rnacentral:rRNA from 1 species
CCUACGGGCGGCUGCCGUGGGGAAUAUUGGACAAUGGGGGCAACCCUGAUCCAGCCAUGCCGCGUGUGUGAAGAAGGCCCUCGGGUUGUAAAGCACUUUCAGUGAGGAAGAACGCCUGGUGGUUAAUACCCAUCAGGAAAGACAUCACUCACAGAAGAAGCACCGGCUAACUCCGUGCCAGCAGCCGCGGUAAUACGGAGGGUGCGAGCGUUAAUCGGAAUUACUGGGCGUAAAGCGCGCGUAGGUGGCUUGAUAAGCCGGUUGUGAAAGCCCCGGGCUCAACCUGGGAACGGCAUCCGGAACUGUCAAGCUAGAGUGCAGGAGAGGAAGGUAGAAUUCCCGGUGUAGCGGUGAAAUGCGUAGAGAUCGGGAGGAAUACCAGUGGCGAAGGCGGCCUUCUGGACUGACACUGACACUGAGGUGCGAAAGCGUGGGUAGCAAACAGGAUUAGAUACCCUGGUAGUC